CAUGCCGUAAACGUUGGGUGCUAGACGUGGGGGCCUUUCCACGGUUUCCGUGUCGUAGCUAACGCAUUAAGCACCCCGCCUGGGGAGUACGGCCGCAAGGCUAAAACUCAAAGGAAUUGACGGGGGCCCGCACAAGCGGCGGAGCAUGCGGAUUAAUUCGAUGCAACGCGAAGAACCUUACCAGGCCUUGACAUCCAAUGAACUUUCUAGAGAUAGAUUGGUGCCUUCGGGAACAUUGAGACAGGUGC
rnacentral:rRNA from 1 species